GAUGAACGCUGACAGAAUGCUUAACACAUGCAAGUCUACUUGAACUUCGGUUUGGGUGGCGGACGGGUGAGUAACGCGUAAAGAACUUGCCUCACAGUUAGGGACAACAUUUGGAAACGAAUGCUAAUACCUGAUAUUAUGAUUUUAGGGCAUCCUAAGAUUAUGAAAGCUAUAUGCGCUGUGAGAGAGCUUUGCGUCCCAUUAGCUAGUUGGAGAGGUAACGGCUCACCAAGGCGAUGAUGGGUAGCCGGCCUGAGAGGGUGAACGGCCACAUGGGGACUGAGACACGGCCCUUACUCCUACGGGAGGCAGCAGUGGGGAAUAUUGGACAAUGGACCAAAAGUCUGAUCCAGCAAUUCUGUGUGCACGAUGACGUUUUUCGGAAUGUAAAGUGCUUUCAGUUGUGAAGAAAAAAAAUUACGGUACCAACAGAAGAAGUUGACGGCUAAAUUGGUGGGCGGCAUCCGCGGUAAUACGGUGUGUCAGAAGCGUUAUGGGGAUUUAUUGGGCGUUUGGCGUGGUCUGUGUGGUUGUGGUGGUCUGUGUGAAAAAUGGGGGCUUACUUUGGUUGGUGUGGGAUUGGUGGGAUAUGAUGGUGGGAAAGGUGUGUGGUAAAUGCUGUGUGUAGAUGUUAUGUUGUGAUAUAUUUGUCGUGUCCCUCUUGCCUACCCCCCUCCAUAAUUGAUGUUGUUGUUGUUGUGUGUUGUGUGUGUGAGUGUGUGAUGUGUGUUUGGUGAUGAAGUGGUGAUGUUGUUUUGUGUGUGUGGUUGGGUGUGCAGUGUGUGUGUGUAAACGUAAACGAUAGUGAGAUUGUGUGUGUGUUGGUGUUUUUUGUGUUUUGUGUCGUGGUGA
rnacentral:rRNA from 1 species